GAGGCGUUAGUAAAAUAUUAUAUAACUUUGUCAAGGUUAAGUUACAGGUGAAAACCCCGUACACCUCA
rnacentral:tRNA from 2 species